UCGAGAAUCUUUCGCAAUGGGCGAAAGCCUGACGAAGCGACGCUGCGUGAGCGAUGAAGGCCUUCGGGUCGUAAAGCUCUUUCGCGUGGGAACAAGGAAGAGACGUGAAUAACGUUUCAUUUUGAGGGUACUACGAUAAGAAGCACCGGCUAACUCCGUGCCAGCAGCUGCGGUAAUACGGAGGGUGCAAGCAUUAAUCGGAAUUAUUGGGCGUAAAGGGCGCGUAGGCGGAUAUGUAAGUCAGAUGUGAAAUUCCGGGACUCAAUUUCGGAGCUGCAUUUGAAACUACAAAUCUCGAGGAUUGGCGGAGAGAACGGAAUUCCACGUGUAGCGGUGAAAUGCGUAGAUAUGUGGAAGAACACCGGUGGCGAAAGCGGUUCUCUAGCUUAUACCUGACGCUGAGGCGCGAGAGCAAGGGGAUCAAACAGGAUUAGAUACCCCCGUAGUCC
rnacentral:rRNA from 1 species